ACUCCUACGGGAGGCAGCAGUGGGGAAUAUUGCACAAUGGGGGAAACCCUGAUGCAGCCAUGCCGCGUGUGUGAAGAAGGCCUUCGGGUUGUAAAGCACUUUCAGUAGGGAGGAAGGUAGUGUAGUUAACACCUGCAUUAUUUGACGUUACCUACAGAAGAAGCACCGGCUAACUCCGUGCCAGCAGCCGCGGUAAUACGGAGGGUGCGAGCGUUAAUCGGAAUUACUGGGCGUAAAGCGCAUGCAGGCGGCCUGUUAAGUCAGAUGUGAAAGCCCGGGGCUUAACCUCGGAAUUGCAUUUGAAACUGGCAGGCUAGAGUCUUGUAGAGGGGGGUAGAAUUUCAGGUGUAGCGGUGAAAUGCGUAGAGAUCUGAAGGAAUACCAGUGGCAAGGCGGCCCCCUGGACAAAGACUGACGCUCAGAUGCGAAAGCGUGGGGAGCAAACAGGAUUAGAUACCCUGGUAGCACAGAG
rnacentral:rRNA from 1 species